GUUCUAGACCUCAACCGUAUCCAUAUUGAAUCCAAAGAAGAAGCGAGGAUUAGGAUCCCAGAUGCCGCCCGCUUCCCAGAUGCAGAAUCCCCAGAGAGGGGAGGGGAAAUUUAAGAUUCGGUCAAGAAGAAAACUGGGGGAGCUCGCUCACUUGUGACUCCGCAAUGGCCGCAAGGUCCCUCCUUCUUCGCCAUGGCGCCCUCUUCCCUCUUGUCUCUUCUCCCAACGCCCACGCCCACGCCCACGCGAGUGAGGUGAGGGGAGAUUCAACAAGCAACUGUUUCCUGCUCCUUUCUUGGUAUGAAUGAAUCUCUCUUUGAGAACCAAAAAAGGGGAUUAAUUGCUGGGAACAAUUCCACUGCCCAUCACCAAGUCAAAAGCCAAGGCUUGCUUCUUUUUCUUC
rnacentral:lncRNA from 1 species